AAGCGACCAAGCGUACACGGUGGAUGCCCUGGCAGUCAGAGGCGAUGAAGGACGUGCUAAUCUGCGAAAAGCGCCGGUAAGGUGAUAUGAACCGUUAUAACCGGCGAUGUCCGAAUGGGGAAACCCAGUGUGACUCGUCACACUAUCAUUAACUGAAUCCAUAGGUUAAUGAGGCGAACCGGGGGAACUGAAACAUCUAAGUACCCCGAGGAAAAGAAAUCAACCGAGAUUCCCCCAGUAGCGGCGAGCGAACGGGGAGGAGCCCAGAGCCUGAAUCAGCAUGUGUGUUAGUGGAAGCGUCUGGAAAGGCGCGCGAUACAGGGUGAGAGCCCCGUACACAAAAGCGCACAUGCUGUGAGCUCGAUGAGUAGGGCGGGACACGUGGUAUCCUGUCUGAAUAUGGGGGGACCAUCCUCCAAGGCUAAAUACUCCUGACUGACCGAUAGUGAACCAGUACCGUGAGGGAAAGGCGAAAAGAACCCCGGCGAGGGGAGUGAAACAGAACCUGAAACCGUGUACGUACAAGCAGUGGGAGCCUCUCUUUAUGGGGGGUGACUGCGUACCUUUUGUAUAAUGGGUCAGCGACUUAUAUUCUGUAGCAAGGUUAACCGCAUAGGGGAGCCGAAGGGAAACCGAGUCUUAAUUGGGCGUUAAGUUGCAGGGUAUAGACCCGAAACCCGGUGAUCUAGCCAUGGGCAGGUUGAAGGUUGGGUAACACUAACUGGAGGACCGAACCGACUAAUGUUGAAAAAUUAGCGGAUGACCUGUGGCUGGGGGUGAAAGGCCAAUCAAACCGGGAGAUAGCUGGUUCUCCCCGAAAGCUAUUUAGGUAGCGCCUCGUGAACUCAUCUCCGGGGGUAGAGCACUGUUUCGGCUAGGGGGCCAUCCCGGCUUACCAACCCGAUGCAAACUGCGAAUACCGGAGAAUGUUAUCACGGGAGACACACGGCGGGUGCUAACGUCCGUCGUGAAGAGGGAAACAACCCAGACCGCCAGCUAAGGUCCCAAAGUCAUGGUUAAGUGGGAAACGAUGUGGGAAGGCCCAGACAGCCAGGAUGUUGGCUUAGAAGCAGCCAUCAUUUAAAGAAAGCGUAAUAGCUCACUGGUCGAGUCGGCCUGCGCGGAAGAUGUAACGGGGCUAAACCAUGCACCGAAGCUGCGGCAGCGACACUUUAGUGUUGUUGGGUAGGGGAGCGUUCUGUAAGCCGUUGAAGGUGUCCUGUGAGGGGUGCUGGAGGUAUCAGAAGUGCGAAUGCUGACAUAAGUAACGAUAAAGCGGGUGAAAAGCCCGCUCGCCGGAAGACCAAGGGUUCCUGUCCAACGUUAAUCGGGGCAGGGUGAGUCGACCCCUAAGGCGAGGCCGAAAGGCGUAGUCGAUGGGAAACGGGUUAAUAUUCCCGUACUUGGUGUUACUGCGAAGGGGGGACGGAGAAGGCUAUGUUGGCCGGGCGACGGUUGUCCCG
rnacentral:rRNA from 1 species